GCCGAGGUGGCGAAAUUGGCAGACGCACCAGACUUAGGAUCUGGCGCCGCAAGGCAUAGGGGUUCAAGUCCCCUCCUCGGCA
rnacentral:tRNA from 1 species